UACGUAGGGUGCGAGCGUUGUCCGGAAUUAUUGGGCGUAAAGGGCUCGUAGGCGGUCCAUCGCGUCGGGAGUGAAAAGCUGGGGCUUAACCCCAGUCCUGCUUUCGAUACGGGUGGACUAGAGGUAGGCAGGGAGAAUGGAAUUCCUGGUGUAGCGGUGAAAUGCGCAGAUAUCAGGAGGAACACCGAUGGCGAAGGCAGAUCUCUGGGCCGUAACUGACGCUGAGGAGCGAAAGCAUGGGAGCGAACAGG
rnacentral:rRNA from 1 species